rnacentral:rRNA from 1 species
AGUGAACGCUGGCGGUAGGCCUAACACAUGCAAGUCGAACGGCAGCACAGUAAGAGCUUGCUCUUACGGGUGGCGAGUGGCGGACGGGUGAGGAAUACAUCGGAAUCUACUUUUUCGUGGGGGGUAACGUAGGGAAACUUACGCUAAUACCGCAUACGACCUACGGGUGAAAGCAGGGGAUCUUCGGACCUUGCGCGAUUGAAUGAGCCGAUGUCGGAUUAGCUAGUUGGCGGGGUAAAGGCCCACCAAGGCGACGAUCCGUAGCUGGUCUGAGAGGAUGAUCAGCCACACUGGAACUGAGACACGGUCCAGACUCCUACGGGAGGCAGCAGUGGGGAAUAUUGGACAAUGGGCGCAAGCCUGAUCCAGCCAUACCGCGUGGGUGAAGAAGGCCUUCGGGUUGUAGAGCCCUUUUGUUGGGAAAGAAAAGCAGCAGGUUAAUACCCCGCUGUUCUGACGGUACCCAAAGAAUAAGCACCGGCUAACUUCGUG